UAAGACAGAGGUGGCGAGCGUUGUUCGGAAUUACUGGGCUUAAAGGGCGAGUAGGCGUCCCGGUAAGUCAGAUGUGGAAUCUUUUCGCUUAACGAAAAAAUUGCAUCUGAAACUAUCGGGAUUGAGUCAGUGAGGGGAGGGCGGAAUUCCUGGUGUAGCGGUGAAAUGCGUAGAUAUCAGGAGGAAGGCCUGUGGCGAAGGCGGCCCUCUGGCACUGUACUGACGCUGAGGCGCGAAAGCGUGGGGAGCAAACAGGAUUAGAUACCCUGGUAGUCCACGCCCUAAACGGUGGGCAUUAGGUGUAGGGCUCGUAAGGGUUCUGUGCCGAAGGGAAACCAUUAAAUGCCCCGCCUGGGGAGUACGGCCGCAAGGUUGAAACUUAAAUGAAUUGACGG
rnacentral:rRNA from 1 species